rnacentral:rRNA from 1 species
AACGAACGCUGGCGGCAGGCUUAACACAUGCAAGUCGAACGCCCCGCAAGGGGAGUGGCAGUCGGGUGAGUAACGCGUGGGAACAUACCCUUUUCUACGGAAUAGCUCUGGGAAACUGGAAUUAAUACCGUAUACGCCCUACGGGGGAAAGAUUUAUCGGGGAAGGAUUGGCCCGCGUUGGAUUAGCUCGUUGGUGGGGUAAAGGCCUACCAAGGCGACGAUCCAUAGCUGGUCUGAGAGGAUGAUCAGCCACAUUGGGACUGGGACACGGCCCAAACUCCUGCGGGAGGGAGCAGUGGGGAAUAUUGGACAAUGGGCGCAAGCCUGAUCCAGCCAUGCCGCGUGAGUGAUGAAGGCCUUAGGGUUGUAAAGCUCUUUCACCGAUGAAGAUAAUGACGGUAGUCGGAGAAGAAGCCCCGGCUAACUUCGUG